UACGGGGGGGGCAAGCGUUGUUCGGAAUUACUGGGCGUAAAGGGCUCGUAGGUGGCCAACUAAGUCAGACGUGAAAUCCCUCGGCUUAACCGGGGAACUGCGUCUGAUACUGGAUGGCUUGAGUUCGGGAGAGGGAUGCGGAAUUCCAGGUGUAGCGGUGAAAUGCGUAGAUAUCUGGAGGAACACCGGUGGCGAAGGCGGCAUCCUGGACCGAAACUGACACUGAGGAGCGAAAGCCAGGGGAGCAAACGGG
rnacentral:rRNA from 1 species